rnacentral:rRNA from 1 species
UGAAUAGAUGGUGACCAUAUUGAGAGUAUUCUGGCGCUACCAUUGUUAAGCAAGGUGGUGUGCCAGAUGAAACAAAUUGAGUGCUCAUUAUAAUGACUUGCUUCUGCAUUAAACAUUGUUUUAAUGCAAUUCGAUGUCGGAUGUCAAGCUUUCUGAUUAGAAAGUGAACUAUACAAACAAUGCUUGCUAGCGCUUGCAUGUUUAAUGAAUGUCGGUGUACAGUGAAUCACUUGGCUCGCAGAUCGAGGAAGAACAUUGCCACAUGUGGUAAUUUCUGUGAACUGCAGGUCACAAUGAUCAGAGAGUAUUUGAACGCAAAUGGCAGCUGUAGGUGUGAGCCUACUGCUACAUCCGUCUGAGGUUCAUUCAAAGCAAUAUAUAAAGUUCGUUAUGUAAAACGGCUUUUGACGGCUGAAGCGGUUUGAGCAUUUUGCUUAAUGCACUUUGAAAUGAUAGUGUUAACGUCGAGCCGUAUCAAGCUAUGAUAUUUGCGCUGAUUACUGGUUACGAGUGAAAUUGAUGAUUACAUCGGUGAUCAGUGUGAGUACUCAAAGAUCGAACAACGAAAGAGCCUCAGAUUGGGUGAGAUUAUCCGCUGAAUUUAAGCAUAUUAAUAAGCGGAAGAAAAGAAACCAACUGGGAUUCUAUAAGUAAUGGCGAAUGAACAUAGAGUGGUCAUCAUUGAAUUCCUCCGCAUUUAGUGGAUGGAAGGUGUAAUGUUCGUGCGGUUCAUACAUUUUGCUGGCGUGCAGUGUAAGUUUGAUUGAACGUGACAUGCCCAGAGAGGGUGAAAGGCCCGUCACACUGCUUGUUUGGCAUUCUGUUGACUGUGCUGGAGUAGGAUUGCUUGAGAAUGCAGUUCGAAUGUCGUGUGGAAAACCCCACACAAGCCUAAAUAUGGCUGCGAGACCGAUAGCGAACAAGUACCAUGAGGGAAAGUUGAAAAGCACUCUGAAAAGAGAGUUCAUAAGAGCGUGAAACUGUACUCUGCAAAGCGAAUGGUUGGGUGAUAUGAGCACUUGUUGUUCAGACUUGUCGUGGGUGUGCUGGCAGUCCAUUUGUAGAUUGCCAUACAGCUUACGAAAUGUUGCAUUUGACAUUGCUUGGGGUUGCUCGGUGUGCUGAUGGUAGCGCGGUGUCGUUUCGGAUUGGAAUAUCUUUGAUAACUCCAUGAGGACGGCACCGUAGGGUUGACUUAGUUUGGCUGCUACUAUCGGUGCACUAUGAUAUAAUGGCUAGACUGUAUCGAUCUGCUAAGCUUGUUGCGGGCCAAUUGGUUCGUUGGCAAGCUGGUGGGAAAAUUGUUCAAUGGCUACGUAAGGGCAGCGUCUUUACUUGAGCCAUUCGAACCGUCUUGAAACACGGACUAAGGAGUUCAACUCGAACGCAAGUCGUUUUUUCGCGAUGAAAUUUAAAGGCUAAGCGAAGACGAUUCUUUAUGAAAUGCUAACUGAUGCUAGUAAUUGCUGAUGGCAAGCACGAGUGAUGAGUGACACAUUUGAUCUUGAUGAUCACUGCACCUGAGCGUUCAGGUUGAGACCCGAAAGAUGGUGAACUAUGCCUGAGUAGAAUGAAGCCAGGGGAAACUCUGGUGGAG